CUGGAAGAAAAAAUAAAAUUAAAUAGGGACAUUUAUAUAACAGAAAUGAAAUCAAUUCUCCAGCCAGCUGGCGUUUUGAGCGGCUUGAACUUUAUUUUGAGUGAGGACAUUGUUCUGUUCUUCCAAGGGAAGAAGGCCCUUAGGACCCACAAAGAAUUUUUUGCAGCUUUGCUAGAAUGUAUUCCGCCUGGCGAUGAGCCCCCCGAAAACACUGUACGGAAGGCAAUGCAAAGGAUGAAGAAAAGGGUGUUUAAAAAGAAGUGUCUUGCCAUAAACCAGGAGUAGGCUA